rnacentral:sRNA from 1 species
UGCAAAUAUUGACAGCAAGUAAACAUCAUACUGAAAUUAACCUUGUAUUCAGCAUAUUAUUGAAAAAUCACACAUUUAAGAUCAAAGAUUAUAAAGGAGGGGUGUGUGUGUGUGUGUGUGUGUGUGUGUGUGUAUGCGCGUUCAA